UCUCAUUAGUCAACAAAUAAUUAUCAAAUGACAAGUUGAACAAUACAUAUGGAUUAAAAAACAAACAAAAAAGAAAAUCAAGGACUUUUCUGGUUGUUGGCUUGUACGAGCAUUUGUGUUGCUUGUACUGAUUUUGGUGUUGGCCAGUACGAAUUCUGAAGCAGCUACCCUUCCCUGUUCAACUAACAGAUCUAACAUUUGUUUACAUAUGCAUGUUUCUUUGUUUCUAUUAUAAAGAAGAGCUGCAAGCAGAGAAAGAAAAACAGCACAAAUUGCCCAUAAAUUUUUGUAAGGUUUUGUUUCUUUUCGUUUCUCAGAGUUGAGCAGAACUCAUUGUCGGAUAAUUAAAAGAAAGAAGAUCAAGUUUAAGUUCAAGUUCUCUGAUUGUUAAGAAGCUGAAAUUGCCAGUACUUUGUAACAUGUAAUUAAGCAGCUUCUUAUAGCAAUCAGGGGACUUGCACUUGUGCUGAUCUUUCAUUUAUGAUUAAAGUUAUUUAGUGGAUUCUAUACUUAGCAAUUGGAAUUGCUUGUCAAAGAAAGAAAGAAAUUAAACUCUAGUGGAAACUGGGAAACUUUGCAAAAGGUGAAGGAGUGAAGAAGCUAUUCUUAUCCUGAGAUCCAGUUGUUAACAAACAUAGUAAGCAUUUUAUUUUUCUACUUAAUGGUUUUUUAUUAUUGUUUUUAUUUUAUUUUUUAUAAUUUAGUAGUCCAGAAUAAUAUAAAGCAUAUCGAGCAGACUCUUGCAGAAGAUACAUCACUUUUCAAAAAUUUGAACUUAAUUAUAUAUCUAAAAUUUCAACACAAAAUUUUAGUCAACUAAGAAAGAGAGAAGAAUUUAUGAAUCUGGGCCUUGGGUUUCUUGAAUCCUGGUCUAUUAGGUGCCUGAUUAACAAUAAAUUAUUGAUUUAUUGCAUAUUAUUAGUAAUUCAGGAGUUUUAUGAUUUGAGACUUCUACGUUGAGGUAUGUUAAUCAGGCGAGCAUUGGCUUCAGCAGCAUCUACCUCAAAGUGAAUUUGAGUGAGAUUGGCUUUAGCUAAAAACAAAUCAUCAUCACUAUUUCGAACAACCACACUUGCAAACUCACAGAUCGUGACUCUGAAAAUGCAGCAUCCACAUUGCCUCCACAACUUUUGGCCGCCCUAUUCGCAGCAGCUUGAGAUGACUGAACAUCUCAAUCUUGGAACAAUUCCAUGAAGAUCCAUAUUCUUCUCAUUGAACAGCUACAUUAAAAACACUGAGGCUGCAACAGGCGAUGUAAAUGCUUAAUCUAUUACACAAUAGACAUGUCCCGAUCAGAUGAUGUGGGUUGCAAUUGCAAAGGACAGAUUCUCCACAUGGGCAGGCAGCACACCUAUUAGAAUGAAUAUGCUCAACGGCGAGGUCUUGACAAUGGCAACGCCAAAAUAUCUGCUCAUUUUGAAAGGGAAGGAACAUCUCAGUAAUAAAGCCUUCUAUUCCAACAUCCUUCACCAGCUGGAAGGAAGAGCUCAGGGACUCUACCAUUGAUAUCCAAAACUUGUAAUGCUACACCAAACCUUACGUCAGUUCUAAAGAGGUACAUUGAGUUUAAGUGAAUUCUAAAAAGCCGGAGUUUUUCAUUAUUUUUAUACAUUUAUUUAAAAGAAUUACAAAAUUUAAGUCAAACCACGUAAUUUUUAUAUAAAAUCACAUACUAAAAUAUUUUUAUAUAAAUUUCUAAAAAAAAUAUAUUUAUAUAAGUUAAUCUAAAAUUUUAUAAUUUUUCAUUCAAUAAACACAUAAAGAUAUUGCACUUGAAAUAUAGUUCAAGUGGUAAGAGAGUGAGAGAUUUUGAAUUCGAGUCUUCUCUACACUCUAGAAUUCGGCCGAGUGCAAAAGAUAGAUUAAGCAUAUAUUUUUAAUUAUUUUUGGAAUUGUUGGUUUAUAGGUUUUAAGGUACCAAAUUAUUGGCUCAAAAGAAACAAAAACACUUCUAAGAGAAAGAAAAAAAAAACAUCAACCUUAUCAAACCCAAUUAAAUAUGUCCUCAUGUAUAAAUUAAGCCUGUGGAAAUAAGUUUCCUCAUUCCAAUGUAAUCAAGGCCAUAAAUCUAGCAAGUCUCUCCCAAAUCCUUCCAUCAACACAUCGUGUGUUUGCACCAAGUGAAUGUUUCACCUUUAUGAUCAAAAUCUAACAACCCAUGCUUGUCUCGGCAACCAAUUAAAACAAUUUAAUAUUUACUGUGUGACCACUUCAACUUUAGUUCAGAUAUUCCAGCCUACAUUUAUACAACUGUAUGAUAGAGUUUCAGUAAAAGUAGUCAAAUUAUAUUCAGUUUAGAUAGUCCUACCUUAUAGCAUCAAAUCAGUUUGUAAUUUCUUAAUAUUAUCUUUGGUUGUUGUAAAUCUGCUAUAAAUAUGAAUAAAAUAUCAGUAAAGAACCACUGAACCAUUAUUCCAAACAUUCUUAAUUUUUCUCUUGGUAUCAAAGCCAAAUCUUGGCCAACGCCAAAAACAAGCCAAAAAUGGCCACUCCAACCUGCAAAAUAAAAUUUCACUCACUUAAUACAAUGCGAUCAAACUUGAUCCAACAAAUUAUCUCCUAUGGGAGACAAUGAUCAUGUCAGUCAUCAAAGGCCACAAAUUGGAUGGCUAAAUUCUUGGUACCAAACCAUGUCCUCCUGAAUUUAUGCCAAGAACCACACCGGGUAGUACAAUAAAAAUACCCAGUUCAGAAUAUGAAGAAUGGGUCUCACAUGAUCAGUUGCUAUUAGGAUGGUUAUAUAGCACCAUGAAUCCAAAUAUAGCUUCACAAAUAAUGAAGACAUCAACUUCCAAGGAGUUAUGGGAUGCAGCAAAAGAGCUUUCAGGUGCACACACAAAAUCCAGAGUCAUAUACUAUAGAGGUGAAUUGCAGAAAACAAGGAAAUGAGGAAUGAAGAUGGAGGAAUACUUGACCACAAUGAAGUCAUUUUCUGACAAUCUGACAUUAGCAGGUUAGAACAACUCAACAGCUAUCAAACAGGAGGUAUUAAUGUGAGCCAAGCUGCAGCUCAUAUUGCAAUAAACAAAUCUGAACCCAAGUUCACCAAUUCAAAUUAUGGAAGAGGACAAAAUCAACCUACAAAUAACUACAGCAGAGGCACUAGAGGAAGAUUUCGAGGAAGGAAAGGACGAAAUAAUGGCAAUAGACCUAUAUGCCAACUUUGCGACAAAGUAGGCCACACUGCUGCAGUUUGUUGGAAUAGAUUUGAUUAAAAUUUCACAGAUUGAGGAGCCAGCCAUCAUGUCACCAAUAGUUUGGAUUGUUUACAGCAAAAACAAGGUUAUACUAGUAAGAACUUUCUUGUCGUAGGCAAUGGAAGUAAACUUGAUAUUAGCUAUGUAGGUAAUUCAAGAUUUCCUACUCAACGGAAGAAUUUAUUGCUUAAAAAUAUGUUAUAUGAUCCCAGCAUCACAAAAAAUUUGUUAAGUAUCUCUCAAUUGAUGACUGACAAUAAGGUAAAUGUUGAGUUUAACUCUUUUGGUUGUUUUGUGAAGGACAAGCUAACGAGACUAGUGAUUCUACAAGGGAAGCUUGAAGAUGGUCUGUACAAGUUUGAAGCUGUUUCCAAUCCAAUUAAGCCUAACAUCACAAAAUUAAAAUCUAUAGUCAUUUCAAUUUUAGCAAAUUUAUCAAAUUUAGAGUCUGUUAGUUCUUUUAAU